UACGUAGGCAGCGAGCGUUGUUCGGAAUUACUGGGCGUAAAGAGUGUGUAGGCGGUGCUCUAAGUUCGGUGUGAAAUCUCCUGGCUUAACUGGGAGGGUGCGCCGGAAACUGGGGUGCUCGAGCGUGGGAGAGGAAAGCGGAAUUCCUGGUGUAGCGGUGAAAUGCGUAGAUAUCAGGAGGAACACCUGUGGUGUAGACAGCUUUCUGGACCAUUGCUGACGCUGAGACGCGAAAGCGUGGGGAGCAAACAGG
rnacentral:rRNA from 1 species